rnacentral:rRNA from 1 species
GAUGAACGCUGGCGGCGUGCCUAAUACAUGCAAGUCGAGCGAACGGACGAGAAGCUUGCUUCUCUGAUGUUAGCGGCGGACGGGUGAGUAACACGUGGAUAACCUACCUAUAAGACUGGGAUAAGUUCGGGAAACCUGAGCUAAUACCGGAUGAUAUUUUGAACCGCAUGGUUCAACAGUGAAAGACGGUCUUGCUGUCACUUAUAGAUGGAUCCGCGCUGCAUUAGCUAGUUGGUACGGUAACGGCUUACCAAGGCAACGAUGCAUAGCCGACCUGAGAGGGUGAUCAGUCACACUGGAACUGAGACACGGUCCAGACUCCUACGGGAGGCAGCAGUAGGGAAUAUUCCGCAAUGGGCGAAAGCCUGACGGAGCAACGCCGCGUGAGUGAUGAAGGUCUUCGGAUCGUAAAACUCUGUUAUUAGGGAAGAACAGAUGUGUAAGUAACUGUGCCCAUCUUGACGGUACCUACUCAGAAAGCCACGGCUAACUACGUG